CCUACGGGAGGCCGCAGUGGGGAAUAUUGCACAAUGGGGGAAACCCUGAUGCAGCGACGCCGCGUGAGUGAAGAAGUAUUUCGGUACGUAAAGCUCUAUCAGCAGGGAAGAAAAUGACGGUACCUGACUAAGAAGCCCCGGCUAACUACGUGCCAGCAGCCGCGGUAAUACGUAGGGGGCAAGCGUUAUCCGGAUUUACUGGGUGUAAAGGGAGCGUAGACGGCAGCGCAAGUCUGGAGUGAAAUCCCAUGGCUUAACCAUGGAACUGCUUUGGAAACUGUGCAGCUAGAGUGCAGGAGAGGUAAGCGGAAUUCCUAGUGUAGCGGUGAAAUGCGUAGAUAUUAGGAGGAACACCAGUGGCGAAGGCGGCUUACUGGACUGUAACUGACGUUGAGGCUCGAAAGCGUGGGGAGCAAACAGGAUUAGAUACCCCAGUAGUC
rnacentral:rRNA from 1 species